rnacentral:misc_RNA from 1 species
AACCUAGCACACCUGCGGUGUGUACCUGCGGAAGGAUCAUUACCUAGAGUAUUGUAGGCUUUGUCCUGCUGUCUCUUACCCAUGUUUUUUGAGUACUUACGUUUCCUCGGCGGGUUCGCCCGCCGGCUGGACAAUUUAAACCCAUUGCAGUUGCAAUCAGCGUCUGAAAAACUUUAAUAGUUACAACUUUUAACAAUGGAUCU